GACGAACGCUGGCGGCGUGCCUAAUACAUGCAAGUAGAACGCACAGUUUAUACCGUAGCUUGCUACACCAUAAACUGUGAGUUGCGAACGGGUGAGUAACGCGUAGGUAACCUGCCUGGUAGCGGGGGAUAACUAUUGGAAACGAUAGCUAAUACCGCAUAAUAUUGAUUAUUGCAUGAUAAUUGAUUGAAAGAUGCUAUUGCAUCACUACCAGAUGGACCUGCGUUGUAUUAGCUAGUAGGUGAGGUAACGGCUCACCUAGGCGACGAUACAUAGCCGACCUGAGAGGGUGAUCGGCCACACUGGGACUGAGACACGGCCCAGACUCCUACGGGAGGCAGCAGUAGGGAAUCUUCGGCAAUGGACGAAAGUCUGACCGAGCAACGCCGCGGGAGUGAAGAAGGUUGUCGGAUCGUAAAGCUCUGUUGUAAGAGAAGAACGGGUGUGAGAGUGGAAAGUUCACACUGUGACGGCAUCUUACCAGAAAGGGACGGCUAACUACGUG
rnacentral:rRNA from 1 species